rnacentral:lncRNA from 12 species
GCCAGCCAGGCAUCCCCAGGCUAGCCAUUCUAUACUGAGUUUUCCUUAUUUUCAAUAGCAACUCAAGUCAUCCUGGAGAACUCUCAGCAAAUGCACGUUAUAACCACUGCCCGCAUCAUGUGCCAACAACACCAUAAGCCGUGUUCUUGAGCCUCAGCCGAACUCCUAUAAUCCUCGAGCCAGAGCGCUGCACCGAGCACUGGGAACCCACAUGCCUUAAGUUUCAGUCUCUUGGUGGUCCCUUGAGGGCUUCGAUGAUCAGGGCAGAGGCAGAAGGUACCACUUCAA